UGGGGAAUAUUGCACAAUGGGGGAAACCCUGAUGCAGCGACGCCGCGUGAGCGAAGAAGGCUUUCGAGUCGUAAAGCUCUGUCCUAUGAGAAGAUAAUGACGGUAUCAUAGGAGGAAGCCCUGGCUAAAUACGUGCCAGCAGCCGCGGUAAUACGUAUGGGGCGAGCGUUGUCCGGAAUUAUUGGGCGUAAAGGGUACGUAGGUGGGUUUUUAAGUCAGGUGUCAAAGCGUGGAGCUUAACUCCAUUAAGCACUUGAAACUGAAAGACUUGAGUGAAGGAGAGGAAAGUGGAAUUCCUAGUGUAGCGGUGAAAUGCGUAGAUAUUAGGAGGAAUACCGGUGGCGAAGGCGACUUUCUGGACUUUUACUGACGCUCAGGUACGAAAGCGUGGGGAGCAAACAGG
rnacentral:rRNA from 1 species